GUAAUCGGAUUCAACUAGCAAUAGUAUCGAUCCUACGAGCAAGCAUAUAAGGCAUGUGAGUAUUGCCUCCCACGUAAAAUUCAGAGUGUUGCACCACAACAAAAUGGGCAUUGGGGUGCCCAAAUAUAUGCCGACAGCUAUGUAUAGCUUGGUACCUUCAAAACCGAGAAGGAAGCAACUAUGACUUAUGAUAGUGCAUCAAUCAGGUUUCAUAGUGCAGGCUUCCACAGAAAUUAUGCUUGGACAAAUAUAACUAUUAAAGAAUCCAAUUUUUAAAGCCAUUCUAGUAUUGAAGUGGUGCUAAACAUGAUUAUGAACGGUCCCAAUGAAUCAAAAUUUGCAUAUUUCUUGAAAAAUUGUUCCAAAUAUGUGCCAAGAAAUGUUGGUUUCAGUCUAAUGAAGGCUUAUGGCAAUGGAUGGCUUAUGUGUCAGCAACUAUUCCAGAAGGAGCUAACAGCAAGUGAUAUGGUUUUCUAUAAUAGGUUGAUAAGGCUAUGGAAAUUUCGGUAUUGCUAUUGGAAAAGCAGUUAGAGCUUUGUUUUCACAAGGGGUUGGAAAUGGUUUGUGAAGGAAAACCAAUUGAAGACCAAUGAUAUUAUUGCUUUCUAUUCAUACAAAUACGUAGAGAAGACUCAGGUGACUAAGAUGUUCCAAAUAUUUGAUGUAAACAAGGUCAAUCGUUGUGACACUUUAAUGCAGAUGUUUGGCCAUCAUGUUGACGUAGAAAUAGAUUAGAUCCUUGAAUCAAACAGUCAUGUUGAUGAGGAUGAAAAUGAGGCGCUUGGUCUCGAGCACAAUGCUAUUGAACUUUUUGGUGUAGAAAUCUUCGGAGGUAGAUAUUCUUCGUCUGGAAAUGGCUCUAUAUUUUCAUUUGAGCUGUGCUAUGGAAUUCUCUAUUUUUUUUCAUUUUGUUUCCAGGUUAAAGCUAUAGAUUCUUUAUCAAUAAAAUCAUAUUUUGUUAGGGGUGGACACAAUCCAAGUUGGCCCAGGUUCAAAUUGUUGUUCGAUUUGAACAAAUUGAAUCCAAGUAAAGGUUUUAGCUUGUUAAGUUAGAUUUGAAAUCAAUAUCUUAUCA